AUGAAACAGAAGGUAAACUUGAAGAAACUCGUAAGUGCCUCAAAAAAGGAAAAUUUAGAAGUCAUAGCAGAUCGGAAUGCAGACAAAUCCUGGAGCAGAUCAGAGUCUGAACCGGACAGUGAGGAUAAGGGUGCAAUCCGCCCACCACUGUCUAGACCACUCCCCUCCAGCAGCACCUCCCUCCCGCAACCCCCUGUAGCAACCCCACCUGCCUCUUUGCCCCACCCACCUCAGAUGAGCUCCACUCCCUACAGCAGAACCCUUAAGGAAGAGGCCUCCACAGAGGAUGAGGAAGAAGAGGAUGAAAGGGAAGAACCGGAGGAAAUUUGUGAAAAGGCUAAAGAUUCUCAAAAUGGUGCUAGCAAGGAGAAGCGAAGAGGUAUAUUUUAAUCCUUUAUGGUUUGAAGGAUUAUUUUUUACUUCAAAUGUAUUACAUGAACAUAUAACAUUCUUUGCAUAUUUUUUCCAGAUUUUCUUUUAGAAUUGGGACUCGAAAAGGAAGAUGAAAAUGACGAAUCUCCCUGGGAUUCAGAGGUUAGUCGCAAGACGUAUUAAACAAAGCAAAGCUGAUGAAGUCUCUAUACAGAAAUGCAGUAUAUGUAUCACAAUCAGGAAUUUCCCAACCAGUGAUUGGAAAACAACUUGAAGUUUGUGAUAGAACUGCAAGGAGUUUGUGGAAUUAAAUAUAAAUUAAUUAAACAAAAACAGUGUGUCCGUGGGUCCUUAAAAAGUCUUAAAAUUUCUUAAAUAACAUUUUCCUAAUAAAAGGCCUUAAAAAGUCUUAAAGGGCCUGUUU
ensembl:lncRNA